AGAUUGUCAAGCUACAAAAGGGUACAUGGUGGAUGUCUAGGCGCUGAGAGACGAUGAAGGACGUGGAAGACUGCGAUAAGCUUCGGGGAGCUGUCAAACAAGCUGUGAGCCGGAGAUUUCCGAAUGGGGAAACCUGCUAUGGGUUUAUGCCAUAGAAUUGGUAUCUGAAUAUAUAGGGUAUCAAAGGUAACGGAGAGAAUGGAAAAAUCUCAGUAACUCCGGGGAAAGGAAAAAAACUUGAUUUCCUGAGUAGCGGCGAGCGAAAGGGAAAAAGCCCAAACCGGUUAUGUGUCAAACCCUUGUUGUUGCAUAGCCGUAGUCGCGGGGAUUGCAUGAGACAGGGCAAGGUUUGUCUGGGAAGUAACAAAUGUAAUUUUUAGCUGAAUAGCGCAGGAAACGCUAACCAUAGAAGGUGAUAGUCCUGUAGGCGAAAAAAAUUACACUUCCUUAGCAAUAACCCAAGUAACAUCCGUCUCGUGAAAGCGGAUGUGAAUUAGGGGAGUCCACUCUCUAAGGCUAAAUACUACUCAGCGACCGAUAGCGCACAAGUAGCGCGAGCAAAAGAUGAAAAGCACCCCUGUUAGGGGGAUGAAAUAGAACCUGAAAUCGUGUACUUACGAGCGGUGGGAGCACAAUGAUUCUAUAUAACAUAGAAUGGUGUGUGACCGCGUGCCUUUUGCAUAAUGAACCGGCGACUUACUGUGCAUUGCUUGGUUAAGUCUUUAUUGGACGGAGCCGCAGCGAAAGCGAGCGUGAAAUGCGCGAUUAUGUAGUGCAUAGUAGACCCGAAACCAGGUGAUCUACCCUUGGUCAGGAUGAAACGAAUGUAAAAGUUCGUGGAGGUCCGAACGCACUUGCGUUGAAAAGCGAGGCGAUGAACUGAGGGGAGGAGUAAAAGUCUAAUCAAACUUGGUGAUAGCUGGUUCUCCUCGAAAUAGCUUUAGGGCUAGCCUUAUGCCAAUUAAGCAGUGGGGGUAGAGAUACUGAAUGAGUAUUGGGGUCCACCAGACUACCAAAUUCAAUCAAACUCCGAAUACCACUGUUGCUAGCAUAAGAGUCAGACUGUGGGGGAUAAACUUCAUUGUCAAGAGGGAAACAACCCAGACCGACAGCUAAGGUCCCUAAAAUAGACUAAGUGAUAAAGGAAGUAAGAGUGCUAAGACAGUUAGGAUGUUGGCUUAGAAGCAGCAAUCAUUUAAAAAGUGCGUAAUAGCUUACUAACCGAGCAUUUUUGCGCCGAAAAUAUUACGGGACUAAGUCUAUUACCGAAGCUUCGGAUUUUUGCAAUUAUUCGUAAUUGCAAAAGUGGUAGGGGAGCGUUCUAUAAAAGGUUGAAGAGAGACUGAAAAGACUCUUGGACGAAAUAGAAGUGAUAAUGCCGGUAUAAGUAGCGAUCAUAUAAGUGAGAAUCUUAUUCGCCGCAAGCCUAAGGUUUCCUGGGGAAGGUAAAUCCGCCCAGGGUUAGCCGGAGCCUAAGUCAAGGCUGAAAGGCGUAGACGAUGGACAACAGGUUAAUAAUCCUGUGCCACCGUAACAGCGUUGAGCAUGGGGGCACAGAGGUGUGAAGGUUAUCAAGUCAAAUAGACACGGCUUGUUCAAGCCGGAGAUGUUCUCUCAGGCAAAUCCGAGACGUAUGGCAUCGAAGGUGAGUACGUUGGCGUAUGCCUUAAGUAACUGGAGCAUCUUUCAAGAAAAGCCUCGUUUGCGAGCUGUUAUGGUGUCCGUACUAAAACUCACACAGGUAGGCGGGGAGAGGAUCCUAAGGCGCUCGAGAGAACCCUCGUUAAGGAACUCGGCAAAAUCACUCCGUAACUUCGGGAGAAGGAGUGCCUCGAAUAAAAUCGAGGCCGCAGUGAAAAGGCCCGGGCGACUGUUUACUAAAAACACAAGUCUCUGCCAAGAUUUAAAAUCAACGUAUAGAGACUGACGCGUGCUCGAUGCCAGAACGUUAAGGGGAUGGGUUAGUGUUCGAAAGAAUACGAAGCUCAGGACUGAAGCGCUGGUGAAUGGCGGCUCUAACUAUGAGAGUCCUAAGGUAGCGAAAUUCCUUGUC
rnacentral:rRNA from 1 species